CCUGCCCAAGAGAUCGGGAUAACACCUGGAAACAGAUGCUAAUACCGGAUAACAACAGAUGAUGCCUAUCAAACUGUUUAAAAGAUGGUUCUGCUAUCACUCUUGGAUGGACCUGCGGUGCAUUAGCUAGUUGGUAGGGUAACGGCCUACCAAGGCGAUGAUGCAUAGCCGAGUUGAGAGACUGAUCGGCCACAUUGGGACUGAGACACGGCCCAAACUCCUACGGGAGGCAGCAGCG
rnacentral:rRNA from 1 species